GACGGAGGAUGCAAGUGUUAUCCGGAAUCACUGGGCGUAAAGCGUCUGUAGGUGGUCAAAUAAGUCAACUGUUAAAUCUUGAGGCUUAACCUCAAAAUCGCAGUCGAAACUAUUAGACUAGAGUAUAGUAGGGGUAAAGGGAAUUUCUAGUGGAGCGGUGAAAUGCGUAGAGAUUGGAAAGAACACCGAUGGCGAAGGCACUUUACUGGGCUAUUACUAACACUCAGAGACGAAAGCUAGGGUAGCAAAUGGG
rnacentral:rRNA from 1 species